rnacentral:tRNA from 2 species
AGAAGAGACUUGGAGUGAAGCAGGGCUGCUAACUUUGCUUUGGGUAAUUCGAUUGUAUCCUUCUUCUU